rnacentral:lncRNA from 1 species
UGUCGUCUUCACUUUCUCCCUAUUGCUACUCAUUUUCUUUCUGUUUAUUCUCCUUUCCCAACCUAACAUUAGGUAAAUGUAUCCACCUAACAUUAGGUAAAUGUACCCAUUGUUGUUCCUUUUAAUGUCAUGCAUUUUGCUAAAAACAAUCUGAUGUCGAAGCAGAUGUCUUGACAUCUGAUUCUGUGAAACCAGGACAUUCAUUCACUAGCUGGCGCACAUUGUGGGUCCCUUCUGUUAUCUGUUAAAGAUUUGGUUGUUGUUACUUGAGGUUCAAGUAACUGAUUAAAGGGAGUUCUUUACGGGUUGUUUUUUUGUCGAAACAAAUCUAUGAUUGAAGAUUUGUUUCUAUCUUAUACUCGGUUGUUACACAAAUCAUAUCUUGGAAGAUUGCGUUUGAAGUUGUGUGGAUCAAUUUUGUUCUUCAGCCCAGUCAACCCUAGUGCCGCCUCUGCUGAAGUAUAAAAGGAACAAAGACCUAAAACGUGAAGACACAGAAGCUAAGAUUGAAGAUCAAGUGUUUUAUGAUUGUGAGUUGUGCUUUGUUCUUGUUAUUUGUGAACUGGUCUUGCUCCCUGAUUCUAUAAGGCAAGACUGAGUUCUGUGUUGAGUUUGAGUGUUCAAGCGUUGAUUGUUAUUUGUUAUCACCGAUCGCUGUGGCAGUGAUUGAGAGAAAGUGAGAGGGACUCUCAUACUUAUGUUGAGAUACUAAGUAGAAAUACACUGGGUAGAUUAGGAAAAGGGCAAAGCCCUCCAGACGUAGGUGAAGUUUCACCGAACUGGGUUACUAAUUCUUGUGUCUUGAUUACUUUUGUAUUUGAGUGUUUACUGGUUCUGAGUUACUGUUGUUAUAAUCGAUUGUCCUGACAUCGCGUACGACAUUGUCCUAGUGGAACUAGAAUUUCAAUUGGUAUCNNNN